rnacentral:lncRNA from 1 species
AGGGCCGGGGCCAAAGGCUUCGGCAAAAAUCACCCAGCCGAAGGUUCUGCGGCGUGCUGGAGAGCCCGCUCCCCUCAGAGUCAAGAAAACUGCCCUGGAAUCCUGCGACAUGCCAGCCGUGAUUCCGAGAACCCCUCCACGCAGCCUCCACGCCCCUCUCUGAAGAGUGACCCAUACCUCGUCACCCACUGGCUUCAAGAUCGCCACUGACCCCCCGCCUUUUCCUGCAAGGAGCACCGCAGCCUGCAGGGUCAGCUCCAUCCUCCGGAGUCCUCCGGAUGCAGCCCGGCCUGAAGUCCUUCCUGAACACCUGUCGUCAGGACAUCUGGCCCCGACAGGACCCUCCCUGCCCCUCUAGGCUCCAAGGCGCUGAGGAUCACGAGAGUGCCUGUCUGUCCAGUGGUGUCCCCCUGCCACAGCUGUCGCCCACCCACCUUCAAGCAGAACAGAGCAGAGGGUCGAGUCUCUGUCGCAUCAGCUUUAGAUUCCCGCCUCCCUGUCCUGGGCCGCUCGCCACACCUUCGUCCUGGAGGUUCCCGCCAGCUUGUUCACAAACCGAAGGCCUCGGGUUUCUCUCCCCAGACUGUCCCAGCGUCCCCUUCAGAGAGGAGGCUGGCAUCUGAAGUCCCCUGUCCCAGUUGGAAUUAGCCGCUUCGCCCCAGAAUCUAGCUUGCUCCCCUGGGUCUGUCACGAAUAGGGACCCGGCCGAAAUGUGUCAUCAUGCAAGACAGUCCUUCCUGGAACUCAAUCUGAGUGGCUUUUUGCAAAAACAGGAGACGAGCAGACAACAUCUUUCCCAACCUUGAUAACCACGUCAAGACGGGGCUCAGGCACUCCUGACCCUCCCCCAAUUAAAUAACCUCAAUUCCUUUCCUCAAAAGGAUCACCUGGAGCUCCCGUGGUGGCUCGGUAGUAACGAACCCAACUAGUAUCCCUGGCCUUGCUCAGUGGGUUAAGGAUCCAGUGUUGCCGUGAGCUGUGGUGUUGGUGGCAGAUGUGGCUCAGAUCUGGCUGAGUCUGAGCUGCAGCUUCAAUUCAACCCCUAGCCUGGGAACUUCCAUACACCAUGGAGCAGAGGCGCAGGGGUGAGACAUCCUGGAGGCCAGCUGGGAGGAGGCCUGUGCUUCCAGGAUGGGGCCCGGAGAGCAAGUCUUCAGUGCAGGUGGCCUGCUUCUCUCAGUCAACCAUGGGGACUGCUUAGAGGCUUGGAGCAGGGGAACAGCAGGGUCCCCGUUUUGACCCUGGGAUAUAAUGGCUCUGGCCUCAGUUGUAAUUGGGUCCGCGCUGUGUCCUUACGUAGCCAAAUGCCACCCUCCACGCCAAACUGUCACUCUUGUCUCAUUCCACCUUGCCCUCACCACAGGUCUGUGGCAUCACCUUUCUGAUGCACACAGACAACAGUCAACGGAGGGGUGACUUUUCU